AUGUUGGCAAAACUAAUGGCACAAGGAAAAAUUUCAAACCCUUAAGCCAAUUUUUUAAUUUUAUUUCAGGUGCUAUUCGAGCACAUAAUGGUAGUCUUCAGCACCUUACUUGGCUUGGCUUACAGUGGAAUUCAUUGCCUGCUUUACCUGGAAUCCGAAAAUGGCUAAAACAGCUUUUCCAUCAUUUGCCCCAGGAAACCUCAAGUCUUGAAACAAAUGCACCUGAAUCAAUAUGUAUUUUAGAUCUUGAAGUAUUUCUCCUUGGAGUAGUAUAUACCAGCCACUUACAAUUAAAGGAGAAAUGUAAUUCUCACCACAGCUCCUAUCAGCCGUUAUGCCUGCCCCUUCCUGUAUGUAAACAGCUUUGUACAGAAAGACAAAAAUCUUGGUGGGAUGCGGUUUGUACUCUGAUUCACAGAAAAUCAGUGUUUAAGUAGUAAAACAAAAAUAUUGCUUUCACUUAGUGCGUAGGUUUUACCAGGGAUUUAAUCCUCAUGUGAAGAUUUAAUUUGUCAUGUGACCCAUUAACAUAUAUGUAUGUAAGCGCUGAACUGUGUAUUUAGAAAGCAAUUUUAGUAAAUUGAACUAUUUUUUAGACCUGGAAACUCAGCAAAAUUGAGACUUCUAGUUCAGCAUGAAAUAAACACUCUAAGAGCCCAGGAAAAACAUGGCCUUCAACCUGCUCUGCUUGUACAUUGGGCAAAAUGCCUUCAGAAAAUGGGCAGCGGUCUUAAUUCUUUUUAUGAUCAACAAGAAUACAUAGGGAGAAGUGUUCAUUAUUGGAAGAAAGUUUUGCCAUUGUUGAAGAUAAUAAAGAAGAACAGUAUUCCUGAACCUAUUGAUCCUCUGUUUAAACAUUUUCAUAGUGUAGAUAUUCAGGUAACAGAGUUCCUUUAUGAAUUUAUUGGAGAUGGGAAUUUCCAGUUUAUAAACAAAGACGUGGAGCUAUAA
rnacentral:lncRNA from 1 species